AACUAAACAUUCACUCGUACUAUGAUUCAUUUUUUAAUCAUAUACAUUGCAUUCAUCUUGCACAUUUUUGAAUUCCUUACAUUUCAUUUCAUCAUUUCUUUCUCACAUCACAUUUACCUCAAAAUACAUAUUACAUUCUUUCUUUACAUCAUUUAUCAUCAAGUACAAAAGAUGAUCAUAGGGUACUUUACUACAAAAUGAAAACCC
rnacentral:lncRNA from 1 species